rnacentral:misc_RNA from 1 species
GAUGAAGAACGUAGCGAAAUGCGAUAAGUAAUGUGAAUUGCAGAAUUCAGUGAAUCAUCGAAUCUUUGAACGCACCUUGCGCCCUUUGGCUAUUCCGAAGGGCAUGCCUGUUUGAGUAUCAUGAACACCUUAACUCUCAUGGUUUGCCAUGAUGAGCUUGGACUUUGGGGGUCUUGCCGGCCUAUGGGUCGGCUCCUCUCAAAUUAAUCAGCUUGCCAGUGUUUGGUGGCAUCACAGGUGUGAUAACUAUCUACGCUUGUGGUUUUCCAUCAGGUAACCUUCAGUGAUGGAGGUUCGCUGGGGCUCAUAAAUGUCUCUCCUCAGUGAGGACAGCUUUUUUGAACGUUUGAUCUCAAAUCAGGUAGGACUACCCGCUGAACUUAAGCAUAUCAAUAAGCGGAGGA